AGUUGUGUCCUUGACCCCAUGUUGUGCGAGUCCUCUUCGGACACUUUCAUCGAGCCACCUGAAUCGCUACCCUCACCCCCCAAAAAAUCAGAAGGGUCACACAGUGGGAGAGUGGUCAUCGGGAACAGACCCUACCAGUCUUCUAGUCUGUACUCUCUGCCUUCCUAAGCAGCACAGGGAGAUGCCAUCAAUAAAAUCCUUGGAGAAGAUGAAGAUGAGGAUCAGGGCGAUGCUUUUACAAGCCAAGAGACAUCCAAGAUUGCCAGCAAGCUGCCUGAAUUUGAGCAGAGGCACAAGAUGAUCACCCAUCCCCGCAGGUCCCUCAGCCGGAACAAAUUCACUGACAUCUUGAUUUCCGACUUCCCGCUUUCAGAAUGUGACAAGAGGAUUCUUUCUCUGUGGCACUUCACUGAGGCAAUCUUCAAGUAAAUAAAGAUGCCCUGUGUGAUAAGUUGAAGAAGAAGAAAAAAAAAACAAAAACAAAAAACAAAAAAAAACCAAAAAAAACCAGGAACAACAAGGCCAGCUACAGUCAGCAGCAUUUAAUGAUCUAUUCAGAAUAGCUAAUAGAAAAUAUUUUCAUGUUUCUAACAUAAAAAAAUAAUAAAUGUUUAAGAUGGUAGAUA